rnacentral:lncRNA from 1 species
UUUGAGUCAGCUGUUCUCUACAGCAUGGCCUUCAGCCAGGUUUUUCAAAAAUAAUGCUGCUUUGUGUCUGGUGAGCCUGAUAAAGUCUUGAAAAAGAUGAGCGUGGCAUCCUGAAAAGAUCAGUGUCUGUCAGUGCCUGUUUGUACACUCAGAGGUGCACGUCAUGUGAAAGUCCUGAUAUUUGUAAAAUCUGGUAGGAAGAACUAUAAAUGUUGAAACUAUUGAUUCCCAUAGAGAUGCUUGUGUAGUGUAGUAAUUCCGGUUUGUAUAUUGAGCUGCUCAGCUUUUCCAUCUGCUAGUUGUUUUUUGUCUUUUUUAAUUUAUGACUCUUAGAAUGUUACUGUUUGGUUCUAAAAUGUCAGCAUAAACAAGAACGUUUCCCUUUCAGUAAGGGAUCAUAUUCAGUAAGCUUGUCAUGUUCUAAAAGACUGUUCAGUGUUUCAGGUUAGGAGAGACAGUCCAGCAAGUGAUUCAUGUGGACACAGUCUGAUUGCAAAUAUCAGUCUUUAGAACUACAGAACACCAGAUGAAGCGUGUUAAAACUCUGAGUUUACUUUACCUUUGCCUUAAAGAAAAAUGGUGGGUUUGGGGAAGAAGCCAUUAAGUUCUUGUUUUAGUUCAGUUCAUUUCUUGUUUCUGUUACAAAGGAAGACAUUCAUGUGUUAAGUGCAUAACCAAAUAAAGUUUGUUGUUGAAGGGAGAGACAGCGCUUGACCUUGCAAUUCAAACUCAGAAUCGCUCCAUGAUUUAUAUGUUAAUUGAGGAAGGAAGAAUGAGAAGCAGAAGAAAUAACAGGUUACUGAGAGCGUUGGAGAAAUACGAGCUGUUCCUGCUGCUGGCAUCUUGCUUGACUGUGAUGUGGGCCAUAGGAUACGUAAUGAACUUAAGUUCUGAUUCUUGGCUUUUGAAAGGAUGUCUGCUUUUCCUUCUGCUGGUUGGGAUGGCUCUGUUCGUGAGGUUUGUGGAUUCAUCUCUUUCUAUGUAUUUAUUUCUAGUAGAUGCAGUACGUGGUAGUGAUGCAGUGUUCUUUUCAGAGUCUACAG